rnacentral:tRNA from 1 species
GCCUGAGUGGCUCAGUCGGUUAAGUGUCUGACUUCGGCUCAGGUCAUGAUCUCACAGUUCGUGAGUUCAAGCCCCACAUCGGGCU